CCUUGCUAAACAGGACCCAUGGGGGAGAGAUUUGAAGAAGCCAUCAGGGUUUUGACUAGAAGGCAGGGGUCCUCAAAGCUGUGAAAGUCUGAUCUAUCAGAGGUGGCUGCCAAGCUGUGCUUUCUUCUGCAGAUGGCAAAAGAAAAAGAUGUGAAACAAGACAUGUUUAAAUGGAAGAGAGAGGAAUGAGAGAGGAAGGCAAGAAUACAAAUAUUUAAGAAAGCUUUAUUUUCCUGAAGCAAAGAAUGACACUUGAAACCGAGGGAAUCUCAAUGUCCACCUUGCAUUUCCAUGACCAGCAAGAGAGGGGAACCCCUACAGGAAUGUUCAUCCUCUGCCUCUGACCUGGGAAGUCUCAGUCAUCCCCGAGGACCAAUUCCAAAUGUCAAUUCAUUCACCACCAUUGCCCUUGUCAUUGCAUCCACUCCUCCUCUCUCUCUGACUUGUGUUAAUGGUAGGUAACUGUGUAUGAAUCUAGGCUGGGGGUUUGUCUUUGAGGUCAAGGACUAUUUCUGAUUCACUGUGUGUCUCCCUAAAUCCUUCUUCCACCCAGCAAAGAUGCUCAAAAUAUAUAUACAAAUGAUAAAAAAAAAAAA
rnacentral:lncRNA from 1 species